rnacentral:tRNA from 1 species
GGGCCUGUAGCGCAGGGGUGGUCGCGCCGCAUUCCACUAGGCGGAGGAUGCCGGUUCGAGUCCGGUCGGGCCUU